rnacentral:rRNA from 1 species
CCACUGAUAAAUAUUUAAGGGCCGCAGUAUUCUGACUGUGCAAAGGUAGCAUAAUCAUUAGUCUUUUAAUUGAGGGCUUGUAUGAAUGAUUGGACGAGAUAUAAGCUGUCUCAUAAAAAUUUAAAUAGAAUUUUAUUUUUUAGUCAAAAAGCUAAAAUAAAUUUAAAAGACGAGAAGACCCUAUAGAUCUUUAUAAUUUACUUUUAAAUUUUUUUAGGUUAUUUUUUAAAUUUAUAGGUUAAAUUAUUUUGUUGGGGUGACAAUGAAAUUUAAUAAACUUUCAUUAUUUUGAAACAUUAAUUUAUGAUUAAUUGAUCCACUAUUAGUGAUUAAAAAUUUAAGUUACCUUAGGGAUAACAGCGUAAUUAUUUUGGAGAGUUCUUAUCGAUAAAAUAGUUUGCGACCUCGAUGUUGGAUUAAGAUUAAUUCUGGGUGUAGCAGUUCAGUUUAUUAAGUCUGUUCGACUUUUAAUUUCUUACAUGAUC